rnacentral:rRNA from 1 species
AUUGAACGCUGGCGGCAUGCCUUACACAUGCAAGUCGAACGGCAGCACGGGUGCUUGCACCUGGUGGCGAGUGGCGAACGGGUGAGUAAUACAUCGGAACAUGUCCUGUAGUGGGGGAUAGCCCGGCGAAAGCCGGAUUAAUACCGCAUACGAUCUACGGAUGAAAGCGGGGGACCUUCGGGCCUCGCGCUAUCGGGUUGGCCGAUGGCUGAUUAGCUAGUUGGUGGGGUAAAGGCCUACCAAGGCGACGAUCAGUAGCUGGUCUGAGAGGACGACCAGCCACACUGGGGCUGAGACACGGCCCAGACUCCUACGGGAGGCAGCAGUGGGGAAUUUUGGACAAUGGGCGAAAGCCUGAUCCAGCAAUGCCGCGUGUGUGAAGAAGGCCUUCGGGUUGUAAAGCACUUUUGUCCGGAAAGAAAUCCUUGGCCCUAAUACGGUCGGGGGAUGACGGUACCGGAAGAAUAAGCACCGGCUAACUACGUG